rnacentral:rRNA from 1 species
GGUCGCUGACGAGUGGCGCACGGGUGAGUAACGCGUGGGUUACCUGCCCAUAAGUGGGGAACAACUUGGAGAAAUCCAAGCUAAUACCGCAUAAUACCUUCGGGUUAAAGAGGGGGAUCUUCGGACCUCUCGCUUAUGGAUGGUCCCGCGUCUGAUUAGCUAGUUGGUAGGGUAAUGGCCUACCAAGGCAAUGAUCAGUAGCUGGUCUGAGAGGAUGAUCAGUCACACUGGAACUGAGACACGGUCCAGACUCCUACGGGAGGCAGCAGUGGGGAAUUUUGCACAAUGGGCGAAAGCCUGAUGCAGCGACGCCGCGUGCGGGAAGAAGGCCUUCGGGUUGUAAACCGCUUUCAACAGGGAAGAAGGAAUGAGAGCUAAUACCUCUCUGCCUUGACGGUACCUGUAGAAGAAGCACCGGCUAAUUUCGUGCCAGCAGCCGCGGUAAUACGAAAGGUGCAAGCGUUGUUCGGAUUUACUGGGCGUAAAGAGAUCGUAGGUGGCUUGUUAAGUCGGAUGUGAAAUCCCGGGGCUCAACCCCGGAACUGCAUCCGAUACUGGCAGGCUUGAGUUUGGGAGGGGUAAGCGGAAUUCCGUGUGUAGCAGUGAAAUGCGUAGAUAUACGGAGGAACACCUGAGGCGAAGGCGGCUUACUGGACCAAUACUGACACUGAGGAUCGAAAGCGUGGGUAGCAAACAGGAUUAGAUACCCUGGUAGUCCACGCCCUAAACGAUGUCAACUAGCCGUUGCGGGUAUCGACCCCUGCAGUGGCGCAGCUAACGCGAUAGUUGACCGCCUGGGGAGUACGGUCGCAGAUUAAACUCAAAG